CCACCACCACGCCCUCAAAUCGUUCACCUUCAACCCUCCAAAACAGCUCUUCCAAAUCGAUCGGUGGAUACCGACCCACCCAGUAGUGAACAACAGCGGAUUUGUUCCUUCUUCACUGCCGCCGACAGCAGCUGUCACCAAGAUCUGGAUUUACAGCACAGUAACAAUACCCAAAAGCUGGUGCUUCCGCUUUCUCACCGCCGACAUCAUCGCGUUUUAAGCCAGACUUCGAAUUUGGUAACGGUAGUACCCCUGUUUACAACUCAACUUCUAUCCAGGGCUUCAACAUAGGUUCGAUAUUUCGGUUACGGUAACAGUUUGCAUCACAAUUGCCUUGAUAUUGUAUUGUUUGUGGUAGUUACUAUUUGGAUUUUGAUUUCAACUCGGUUGCAUUGCAUAUGCUGAUUGGAUUGUAUAGGGUAUGUACAUGCUUAAUUGUUUUGAUUCUGAGUGUUUAAGCUGGUUAAAUCAACGGACCAUUUUGAAGUUAUUAUUUGGGUAAUUGUUUUGCAAUGUACCCUAUACCAUUUUGAUUCUGAGUGUGGAAAUUGUUUUGCUCCAUACCAUUUUGAAUAGGGUAUGUACUGUUGAUCAUUUUGCUCUUGUUAUUAGCUUCUAUGGUGUUUUGACAUCCUUGGAUUUUAAUUGAGCAGUUGGUAUUCUUUAUAAUACUUUAUGUUAACCAUGACCCGUUGCAACAAUAGAUUCUAAAUGACGAAACGAUAGAGUUUCAGGUCUUAGUUAAUGUUGGUUAUACUAAUAUAAUUCUUGUUUGCUUACGUAAAGUGUCAAACAUUUCAUCUUUUUGUAAUGUGCAUGUGUUUAUAGUUUGAGUUUUCGAUUUGUAUUGCCAUGAAUGUGUCGUAGCUUGUAGUUCUUUUACUGCUGC
rnacentral:lncRNA from 1 species